CUACGGGUCGCAGCAGUAGGGAAUACUGCACAAUGGAGGAGACUCUGAUGCAGCAACGCCGCGUGGAGGAUGACACUUUUCGGAGCGUAAACUCCUUUUAUAUAGGAAGAAGAUGACGGUACUAUAUGAAUAAGCGCCGGCUAACUCCGUGCCAGCAGCCGCGGUAAUACGGAGGGCGCAAGCGUUACUCGGAAUCACUGGGCGUAAAGAGCGUGUAGGCGGAUUAAAAAGUCAGAAGUGAAAUCCUAUAGCUUAACUAUAGAACUGCUUCUGAAACUCUUAAUCUAGAAUAUGGGAGAGGUAGAUGGAAUUUCUGGUGUAGGGGUAAAAUCCGUAGAGAUCAGAAGGAAUACCGAUUGCGAAGGCGAUCUACUAGAACAUUAUUGACGCUGAGACGCGAAAGCGUGGGGAGCAAACAGGAUUAGAUACCCCAGUAGUC
rnacentral:rRNA from 1 species